rnacentral:ncRNA from 2 species
CUCUUAUUCAGAGUGGUGGAGGUACAUAGGACCUGUGAAGCCACGGCAACCUUUGCCUGCUUUGCAUUUGUGCAAGAAGCAAAAGGUGCCAACCUGAGCGAUGGUGUUUGAAUACGCAGUCGAGCAAUAAGGG